UUAUGUGAUCGUCUCUCGCAUAUCAAUAAGCGGAGGAAAAGAAACUAACAAGGAUUCCCCUAGUAACGGCGAGUGAAGCGGGAAGAGCUCAAAUUUGAAAUCUUAAAGGGUUUCCCUUUACGAAUUGUAGUUUAAAGAAGUGUUUUCUGUUGAGGUUUUGGUAAAAGUUCUUUGGAAUAGGACAUCAUAGAGGGUGAGAAUCCCGUAUUUGACCUUUACUUUCAACUUUGUGAUACACUUUCAAAGAGUCGGAUUGUUUGGGAAUGCAGUCCAAAAUGGGUGGUAAAUUUCAUCUAAAGCUAAAUAUUGGCGAGAGACCGAUAGCGAACAAGUACCGUGAGGGAAAGAUGAAAAGAACUUUGAAAAGAGAGUUAAACAGUACGUGAAAUUGUCAAAAGGGAAGCGUUUGACACCAGUGUUGUUUUUCUGAAAAUCAAUUAAAGAACUGUUUAUGCUAAGUUGUUUAGACUUUAUCAGCUAACUGUUUAGUUUUGAGCUUUUCUUUAAUGCACUUUUCAGUUAACAAGUCAACAUCAAUUUCUUUUGCUGUAAAAAAGCUUGAGGAAGGUGGCUUGAGAUUCGUCUUAAGUGUUUAUAGCCUCUUGCCUAUGCAGUCGGAGAGAUUGAGGUCUGCAGCGUAGAUCCUUCGGGGCUAAAUGCAUUUGUGCUAAGUUAUAGCAUUUUAUAGACAACUUGUUGACUAUGAUUUGUCUUGUAGCUUACUCGCUUAUGUUAUUUUACCUACGCUUAGGAUGUUGAACGCGCACAGAGUCUC
rnacentral:rRNA from 1 species